CAAAUUCUUGUAUCGCGCCAAAUCGCAUUACUUUAGCAAAACUACCUGCGCUCCAAAUCCCUGCUCCUGACGCGCCUAAUCUUUCCUCAAAUACCUCCUCCUGGUGCCAAUCGUCUCCCAACUCACGAGCCCCUUCGCCUCCCCUUAGCAUACAGCCAGGGAGGAGAGGCGGAGCGCCCAAGGUGGAGACGUGGAGUUGGCUGUGGGAGCAGGGCGGCCUAGAGCAGAAAUCCAGGAGGCGAGGGAGAGAUGAACCCCACCAGGCGACCCCGGCGACGGGAGCGGAGCCGAGCUGCCGAGGUCGAGCAGACCCUGCCGGAGGCCUGUGGAGGCACGGAUGAAGCCACGGAGGGGGCUCGGGCCGUACCAGAGAAGAGGUCUCAGGCAACGGCGGCCUCGAGAUCCAACAGCCGUGCUGGCAGAGACAUGGCCUGCGCCGUGAUGCAGAGGACAAACAGUGCGGUGACCAGCCACAUGCCCCCGCACCAAGAGGGCCAUGGAGAACAAGCACAAUUUGAUUUCAGAGCCAACAAGACCUGUCCCUCUCACUAGUCACCACCUAGCUAAAUGGUUUCAAGUUCUACACGCCUGUUUGCACUUUAAAGUGUUUUUUUAGAUGAAUAGUGCUCACAAGUGACAACCAAUAUCUGAUUUUUUUUGGAACUCGCAUCUAUUUAUAUUAUAGCAACUCAAUGCUAAUUAAAACUUCACUUUUCAUUUUCAGGUUUCAAGUUCUACGCGCCUUACAUUUUGGUGUUCCAAUAUGUUAAAUACAAAUACAUUUCUCAAAUAUGCAUGCUGUGUUUCAACGUUUUGAGCUUCCUGUUGGAGCUGAACUCGAUUAGAACAGCUUGAGUUUCUCCAUUCAUAGAAUACUGGUUUCCUUUACAAAUACAUUUAUCCAUUUAGUUUUACAUUUUCUUUUUUUAUAUAUUAUGCAGAUGUCACUUGUGAGUGUGACAAAAAAAAUCAUCCCUUCUGAUCAGCCUAUACAACAUUUUUUUCUAUGUAGUAUUAUAAGUGAUUAAUUUUAAACAAAUUGGAGAGUGAAAUAACAUGUACUAUGGUAGUUAUUUCACUUUCUGCCAUUUUUUC